UCCGUAGGUGAACCUGCGGAAGGAUCAUUAUUGAAUGAACUUGGCAUGAUUGUAGCUGGUCCUCUCGGGGGCAUGUGCACAUCUGUCAUCUUUAUCUCUCCACCUGUGCACACUUUGUAGGUCUGGAAUAACUUUCCGAGGAAACUCGGUCGUAGGGACUGCUGUAAAGGCUUUCCUUGCAUUUUCCAGGUCUAUGUUUUUCAUAUACACCAUAAAAAUGUAACAGAAUGUUUUUAUUGGGCCUUGUUGCCUAUAAACUAUAUACAACUUUCAGCAACGGAUCUCUUGGCUCUCGCAUCGAUGAAGAACGCAGCGAAAUGCGAUAAGUAAUGUGAAUUGCAGAAUUCAGUGAAUCAUCGAAUCUUUGAACGCACCUUGCGCUCCUUGGUAUUCCGAGGAGCAUGCCUGUUUGAGUGUCAUUAAAUUCUCAACCUUAUUAGCUUUUGUUAAUAAUGGCUUGGAUGUGGGGGUUUCUUUGCUGGCUUCUUAACGAGAUCAGCUCCCCUUAAAUGUAUUAGCUGGUUGCCUUGUGCAGACUGUCUAUUGGUGUGAUAAUUAUCUACGCCGUGGAUUUUCUGUCAGUGUAUAGCACCGCUUCUAAUCGUCUGUUAACUCGGACAAUAUAUGACAAUUUGACCUCAAAUCAGGUAGGACUACCCGCUGAACUUAAG
rnacentral:rRNA from 1 species